rnacentral:rRNA from 1 species
GAUGAACGCUGGCGGCGUGCUUAACACAUGCAAGUCGAGCGAAGCACUCGGCCUUGAAUCUUCGGAGGAAAGGCGGUUUGACUGAGCGGCGGACGGGUGAGUAACGCGUGGGCAACCUGCCCCAUACGGGGGGAUAACAGUUAGAAAUGACUGCUAAUACCGCAUAAGACCGCGGUGCCGCAUGGCACAGCGGUAAAAACUCCGGUGGUAUGGGAUGGGCCCGCGUCUGAUUAGCUAGUUGGCGGGGUAACGGCCCACCAAGGCGACGAUCAGUAGCCGACCUGAGAGGGCGACCGGCCACAUUGGGACUGAGACACGGCCCAAACUCCUACGGGAGGCAGCAGUGGGGAAUAUUGCACAAUGGGGGAAACCCUGAUGCAGCGACGCCGCGUGAGCGAUGAAGUAUUUCGGUAUGUAAAGCUCUAUCAGCAGGGAAGAAGAUGACGGUACCUGACUAAGAAGCCCCGGCUAACUACGUGCCAGCAGCCGCGGUAAUACGUAGGGGGCAAGCGUUAUCCGGAUUUACUGGGUGUAAAGGGAGCGUAGACGGCGAUGCAAGCCAGAUGUGAAAGCCCGGGGCUCAACCCCGGGACUGCAUUUGGAACUGUGCGGCUGGAGUGUCGGAGAGGCAGGCGGGAUUCCUAGUGUAGCGGUGAAAUGCGUAGAUAUUAGGAGGAACACCAGUGGCGAAGGCGGCCUGCUGGACGAUGACUGACGUUGAGGCUCGAAAGCGUGGGGAGCAAACAAAAGUAGAUACCCUGGUAGUCCACGCCGUAAACGAUGAUGAUAAGGUGUCGGGCGGCAAAGCCGUUUGGUGCCGCAGCAAAACGCAAUAAGCAGUCCACCUGGGGAGUUACGUUCGCAAGAAUGAAAACUCAAAGGAAUUGACGGGGACCCGCACAAGCGGUGGAGCAUGUGGUGUAAUUCGAAGCAACGCGAAGAACCUUACCUGGCCUUGACAUCCCGAUGACCGUCCAGUAACGUGGACCUCCCUUCGGGGCAUCGGAGACAGGUGGUGCAUGGUUGUCGUCAGCUCGUGUCGUGAGAUGUUGGGUUAAGUCCCGCAACGA